rnacentral:rRNA from 1 species
GCAAGUCGAACGGCAGCACAGUAAGAGCUUGCUCUUAUGGGUGGCGAGUGGCGGACGGGUGAGGAAUACAUCGGAAUCUACCUUUUCGUGGGGGAUAACGUAGGGAAACUUACGCUAAUACCGCAUACGACCUUCGGGUGAAAGCAGGGGACCUUCGGGCCUUGCGCGGAUAGAUGAGCCGAUGUCGGAUUAGCUAGUUGGCGGGGUAAAGGCCCACCAAGGCGACGAUCCGUAGCUGGUCUGAGAGGAUGAUCAGCCACACUGGAACUGAGACACGGUCCAGACUCCUACGGGAGGCAGCAGUGGGGAAUAUUGGACAAUGGGCGCAAGCCUGAUCCAGCCAUACCGCGUGGGUGAAGAAGGCCUUCGGGUUGUAAAGCCCUUUUGUUGGGAAAGAAAAGCAGUCGGCUAAUACCCGGUUGUUCUGACGGUACCCAAAGAAUAAGCACCGGCUAACUUCGUGCCAGCAGCCGCGGUAAUACGAAGGGUGCAAGCGUUACUCGGAAUUACUGGGCGUAAAGCGUGCGUAGGUGGUUGUUUAAGUCUGUUGUGAAAGCCCUGGGCUCAACCUGGGAAUUGCAGUGGAUACUGGGCGACUAGAGUGUGGUAGAGGGUAGUGGAAUUCCCGGUGUAGCAGUGAAAUGCGUAG